rnacentral:lncRNA from 1 species
GAGAACCCGCCCCCUCUUCGCCACGCGAUUGGUCGCUCACGCUGUCUCUCCGGCGCCUCGCCUGCCCAUUGGGCGAGGCGGGGGCGCCCUCCGCCCCUCCCGGUUCUGUCGGUUGAGACGAGCCGUGAGUAAAUAGAAGCAGGAGCUCAAAAUGGCGGAGCCGUCGAGCCCGAUUCGCGGUGCGGCGUCGUCCGAGCAGGAGCCGUUCGGCACCAGACCAGCCCCAGACGCGAAGGUGUCCCGUGGGUCCCAGCCAGCCGCCAAGAAGAUGAAGGGAGCCGAAGAGAGGAGCCUGAAGGGUACUAAGCGCGUCAACGGUGAAGGGGGCGGCGGCAACGGCGGGAGCGGCAAGCAGUCGCUGCCGCUGCCAGCGGUCGUGCCGAGCUACAGCAGCCCCGCGGCGUGGGGUUUCCCCGCGCUCCCUUCUGGCCCCUCCGGCAGCGCGGGGGGCUUCGCUUUCCCUUCUCCGCUGCCCCGGAAGCUGCUGUCGCCCGCCGUUUUGCUGCCGUCGUCCGCCUCCCCCUCCUCUUCCUACCAGCAGCACCAGCACCGCCACCACCGGCACCGCCUGGCCCUGGCCGGCGAGGCGGGAGGCUGCAGCGGCGGGGCGGCCGGCGCUAGCGGCGGGAGCGCCAAGGCGAAGAGGCCCAAGGAAAAGCGGGACAAGGAGAGGAGGAAGCACGGAGCCCUGCCCGUGGUCGCAGCGGUGGGAGAUGGCGGCGGGGCCUUGAGUGCGGCAGGCCGGGAGGAGAACGGCGAGGUGAAGCUGCUGCUGCCGAAAGCGUAUGCUUUCCCAGUCUCCAGUGACCUUAAACCAGAUGUUGAUGCUUUUGUGUUUACACUGAAAUAUGAAGAACUGGAAACAUUCACCCCAUCACCUAGUUCAAGCAAGUUUCCUUUCUUUCAAAGGAAAGAUAAAUUACAGCUGUUAAUAGGCUUAGGUUACUUUGAUUGCGGUCUGCACCUGUACUUGGAGGAUGAGCCAAGCUUGUAAAGAACACACAUUAAUAUUAAUUAGCCUUUUUGUCUAUUGAUCACGUUGUCUUUCUGCCUUACUGCAUUUUCCACUAAUUUCCACUAGUAUCUUAGUCUUGGAUUCAUUUACGUGUGAGUAUUUUUUUUUAAUUACUUGUUCUUUUUGGUCAGCAUGUUGCAUGUACCAUUUUGUUGUUGGGAUCUCAAUUGCUGGUGUACAAGUGGGCUUUAAGUUUGUCAUUUCAGUCCUUUUAAGUAUUUAAAUUUUUUUUUGUUCCUGUCCAAAAAAUGACUUAAGAAAAGUCUGCAGAAAUGAUACUUGGUGCAUGUUUAAUGUUGGUGAAGCUGCCAUGUCUUCACGUAUAUCUGCUAAGAAACUCACCCUUUUCUUUCUAGCAAAGCCAUGCAAAUCGUAACUGUAUUCAUUCAGAUUGUCAUACUGUCCUACCACUGUUAUGUAAUCAUGUUAAUGAAUCUUUGAGAGCAAUAUUACAAUAACAGGGUGAAAUGUUUUUUGCACAUUGGUAAUAGAAAUGGUGCCAGCUGGAUAUAAUUAAUUGAACUCUCCUGGAAGCAGUGAUUCAUCUUUAAAAAUUCUGCACCUUGUAUCUUGAAAAGAUAUUUUCUUUGAACUUGUAUACUGACGGGCACAAGUACUUGACUUUUUAGUUGCUGUUUGCUCAGAACAGAUUUUUCUUAGCUUUCAUUUAGUUCUUGAAAUCCUGAGUACAGGCAACAACAUUUUCCAGGGCAAAUGAUACCUGUUUGGCAGCUGGGUCUCCACCUUUCUGUUUAGAGGAAGUGGUUUCUGUAGCUAAAAUUUUGUGGCGUAGUUUCCUUUAUUGAUGAGAAACUUUAUAUUCAUUAAACUGUAUUUUUACAGAGAAGGCUGUAAGAAAGUAAAGGAUGCAUAGAGUCCUGCUGAGAGCAGCCAGCCUUUUUAAAGUGGUUCUGUAUUUGCCUGUAGAUCAAAGGGCAGGUUUGUGCUGUUAAUCUUGGGAAUAAUUUACUUUUCAGAGAGGAAAGGAGAAAUACAGUAAUGAUGCAGGGAGAAUGACU